rnacentral:rRNA from 1 species
UACGUAGGGUCCGAGCGUUGUCCGGAAUUACUGGGCGUAAAGGGCGCGUAGGCGGCGUGUCAAGUCAGGCGUGAAAGCCCCGGGCUCAACCUGGGAACCGCGCUUGAGACUGGCAUGCUCGAGUUCGGGAGAGGAUGGUGGAAUUCCCAGUGUAGAGGUGAAAUUCGUAGAUAUUGGGAAGAACACCGAUGGCGAAGGCAGCCAUCUGGACCGACACUGACGCUGAGGCGCGAAAGCGUGGGGAGCAAACAGG